GGGGAUUUAGCUCAGCGGUCUAAGCACCUGCCUUGCAAGCAGGCAGUCGUGAGUUCAAUUUCUG
rfam:Cavia porcellus supercont2_75 genomic scaffold, whole genome shotgun sequence.